rnacentral:rRNA from 1 species
UUGAACCGCAUGGUUCAAGGAUGAAAGACGGUUUCGGCUGUCACUUACAGAUGGACCCGCGGCGCAUUAGCUAGUUGGUGAGGUAACGGCUCACCAAGGCGACGAUGCGUAGCCGACCUGAGAGGGUGAUCGGCCACACUGGGACUGAGACACGGCCCAGACUCCUACGGGAGGCAGCAGUAGGGAAUCUUCCGCAAUGGACGAAAGUCUGACGGAGCAACGCCGCGUGAGUGAUGAAGGUUUUCGGAUCGUAAAGCUCUGUUGUUAGGGAAGAACAAGUGCAAGAGUAACUGCUUGCACCUUGACGGUACCUAACCAGAAAGCCACGGCUAACUACGUGCCAGCAGCCGCGGUAAUACGUAGGUGGCAAGCGUUGUCCGGAAUUAUUGGGCGUAAAGGGCUCGCAGGCGGUUUCUUAAGUCUGAUGUGAAAGCCCCCGGCUCAACCGGGGAGGGUCAUUGGAAACUGGGAAACUUGAGUGCAGAAGAGGAGAGUGGAAUUCCACGUGUAGCGGUGAAAUGCGUAGAGAUGUGGAGGAACACCAGUGGCGAAGGCGACUCUCUGGUCUGUAACUGACGCUGAGGAGCGAAAGCGUGGGGAGCGAACAGGAUUAGAUACCCUGGUAGUCCACGCCGUAAACGAUGAGUGCUAAGUGUUAGGGGGUUUCCGCCCCUUAGUGCUGCAGCUAACGCAUUAAGCACUCCGCCUGGGGAGUACGGUCGCAAGACUGAAACUCAAAGGAAUUGACGGGGGCCCGCACAAGCGGUGGAGCAUGUGGUUUAAUUCGAAGCAACGCGAAGAACCUUACCAGGUCUUGACAUCCUCUGACAACCCUAGAGAUAGGGCUUUCCCUUCGGGGACAGAGUGACAGGUGGUGCAUGGUUGUCGUCAGCUCGUGUCGUGAGAUGUUGGGUUAAGUCCCGCAACGAGCGCAACCCUUGAUCUUAGUUGCCAGCAUUCAGUUGGGCACUCUAAGGUGACUGCCGGUGACAAACCGGAGGAAGGUGGGGAUGACGUCAAAUCAUCAUGCCCCUUAUGACCUGGGCUACACACGUGCUACAAUGGACAGAACAAAGGGCUGCGAGACCGCAAGGUUUAGCCAAUCCCACAAAUCUGUUCU